UCUAAGGAUGAAUGAAAGUAAAAUUUCAUUCUAAAUAAUAUACAUCGGUAAUGUUGACCGUCCUCAUUUCUCUUCUUAAAGUAGUGUUUCUCUUGCAUGGGGGCCGGUAGCUCAGUUGGUUAGAGCACACCCUUGAUAAGGGUGGGGUCGAAAGUUCGAGUCUUUCUCGGCCCACCAACAUAAGAUCAUGGGGGAUUAGCUCAGCUGGGAGAGCGCCUGAUUUGCAUUCAGGAGGUCAGCGGUUCGAUCCCGCUAUCCUCCACCAAAAACACUUAGCUAUAAUAAAUUGUAAAUAAAAAUAAUAAUUAAUAUCAAUAUCUAUAUCCGAACAUUAGUAAUGUUAUUAGCUAAUGUUCAAAAUAAAAAUUUGAUUCAACACAGAAUUUUUUUCUG
rnacentral:tRNA from 1 species